rnacentral:rRNA from 1 species
CAGUCGCCGCGGUAAUACAGAGGGUGCGAGCGUUAAUCGGAUUUACUGGGCGUAAAGCGUGCGUAGGCGGCUUUUUAAGUCGGAUGUGAAAUCCCUGAGCUUAACUUAGGAAUUGCAUUCGAUACUGGGAAGCUAGAGUAUGGGAGAGGAUGGUAGAAUUCCAGGUGUAGCGGUGAAAUGCGUAGAGAUCUGGAGGAAUACCGAUGGCGAAGGCAGCCAUCUGGCCUAAUACUGACGCUGAGGUACGAAAGCAUGGGGAGCAAACAGGAUUAGAUACCCGAGUAGUCCCUGUCUCUUAUAC